GGUGAGGUGGCCGAGUGGUCGAAGGCGCACGCUUGGAAAGCGUGUAGACGGGAAACUGUCUCGUGGGUUCGAAUCCCACCCUCACCGCCA
rnacentral:tRNA from 1 species